AUGGCUGGAUGAACGGUAUGUAGGUCCACAUCCAGGAUCCCAACCAGCGAACCCCGGGCCACCAAAGUGGAGCGUGCGCACUUAAACCACUAUGCUACCGGCUAGCCCUUCCUUGCCAACCAGCCCACGUUCCUCUUUUGCUGUGACAGUUCUUUCCUGUUGUGUCCCUGAGCUUGUGUGUCUCCCAAAGGUUUGCACUAGCUGGAAGAUGGGCAAUAAAUGCUUGCAGACAGGGCUGGCUCAGAAGAAAAAAGCAACUUGCCUGGAGCCAUGGAACCAAUGGAAGCUGAGACUGGAAACCAGGUAUUCUGACUCAGGCUCUCCCCUGCCUCUCCUCCUCCUUCCUCCCCUCCCUUUUCUUGGUCCUCCUCAUACAGUUGGUCCGUAACAAAUUCUUACCGUGGGGUUAUGCAGGGUCUCGCCUGAUUCUCCAUUCACGUGUUCUUCCCCUCAGCUCUCCUCUACCCUGGCCUCAAAAGUGUUCACAGCAGCCACUUUUAUAAGAUGGAGUGACCCUGUCCCUGGGAGAAACAGCAAAAUCUACCUGUAGUUCAGGGCACACUUGGGACACGCAGCAGCUUAAUAACUUGGGGUUCCUUCAACCUGCAUUUUAAAAGUAUUUGUUCAAUAUUUAUUUAGUGAGAUUAAAGAUAAACCACAACUGUAUUAUUGACAUUAUUUUAAACUUGCUUUUUGUUCUUUAUGAUAUAAAAGUCAACAGGAAAGAAAAUUAUGUCCUAUUUGAAAUGACACUUUAUUCUAUAGUUUUCUAAAGAUCAUAAUUAAACUUUUAACUGAUUUAGCAUUCCAAGGAAAAUGAAAUACAACAAACAAAUGUUCUGAAAUCAAAUGGGGAAGAAAGUUUACAUUAUAAAGUCCUUUCAAAACAGUAAGAAAUCUAAGACA